UUCGCCUACGGGGGGCAGCAGUGGGGAAUAUCGGGCAAUGGACGCAAGUCUGACCCAGCAACGCCGCGUGAAGGAAGAAGGCUUUCGGGUUGUAAACUUCUUUUAAGGGGGAAGAGCAGAAGACGGUACCCCUUGAAUAAGCCACGGCUAACUACGUGCCAGCAGCCGCGGUAAUACGUAGGUGGCAAGCGUUGUCCGGAAUUACUGGGUGUAAAGGGAGCGCAGGCGGGAAGCCAAGUCAGCUGUGAAAACUACGGGCUUAACUUGUA
rnacentral:rRNA from 1 species